AUCCUGCCUGGAGGGCCGGGUAAGUGGGGCACUCAGGCUUAGAACAGCCACAUGCCUUCCCCUCCCUGUGGGACCCACUUCCAAGGGAGCCAGCCUGAGGCUUGCAUCACUGUUUGGUCUCCUCCUACCCUUCCAGAUCUUCCUGGUGCUGGAGUUAGUGCCCCCUUUUUUCUCAGCUGAGUCAUGACCCUCACCCAGCCCAGCCCAGCCCCCUACCCUAGAUCUGCUCCUACACCUGAUUGAUGCCCUGGCCUCAGGCAGGGCUGGAGCUUGGGGCUGGUGCCUCGGGCCUUCAGCCUUGCCCAGGGCAGCCUGGGCAGAAGCUGAGAUUGGAUGUCAUUUGUCAACCUUGGCAGAGAAGUACUGAAUGCGUCAAAAUAAUUGAAGGUUAUUUGGUGCCUGUGGGAGGGAUUUUUAUUCCCAAGGAUUCUGCUGGACCAUUUGGGGCAGCCCUGUUUGGCUAGCUGAGGGUUCCUAUGUUUUCCAACAAUUGGAUGUUUACAGUAUCUGUGCUCUUGCUUUUUAAAAAUGUCCUCAUUUAGAAUAGCUUCCUUUUUUUAUAUGUUUUCCUUUUUAUCUUUUAAGUGGGAAAUGGGAGGUGAGUAUGAGGGGACAAUUGUGAAGCUUGCCUGUGCUCCAAGUUAGGGACAUGAGACCCCUUCACCCCUGGUUUUCCCCUGUAAUCCUUCCAGAGCUAUAGAGCUGAGCUUGUAUUCAAGCCACAGACAGGGCCCUUGACCUUGAACCAGACAAGGCUGACAGCCCCGGAGCAGGAGCGCUGCUGUGAAAUAACUCGGAGAUAUCCUCCCAGAGCAGUGAAGAGGCUGGAAGGAGUCAGGAAGCCUCAAAUCCCCAGCCUCUGACUUACAAAGCACCCAGACCUCCCUCAGGACUAGACAGAGCAGCCAUUUCACCCAGAGCUGCCUCCAUUCCAGCACUGGGAUGUGGUUGGUAAUGUGAGAUUCUCACUAUCCAAUGCCGCAAUCAGAGCCAUAUGCGGCUAUUUAAACCUCAAUUUAAAUGAAUUAAAAUUAAAUAAAGUUUAAAAACCAGUUCCUCAUCCACACUAGCCACAUUUUAAGUGCUCAUGAGCCACAUGUGACUGGUGGCUGCCUCACUGGACAGCACAGGUUCAGAACACCUCCGUCAUCACAGGGCUCUCUUGGCAGGAUUUAUGGGUCCCCUUUACGCUGAGCUGUCUACCCCUGUUGCCUAAAUGCCUUUCCUACCUAACAGUAGCUGUUCAGUGGGUGCAUUGGCCCUACAGACUCUCCCAAGCUUCUUUCUCCACCAGUAGAAGUAGCUAUGUGGCCUUGUGAGGUCUCCCUUCUAGAAAGAACAGGUAGCAUGCCUCUGACAACCACGUUGACCAGGUGACCUGCAAGCAUCCCCAGGAUCAACUAGCAACCUAAGAUUUGCUGCCCAAACUAAUGCUUCUCCCUGUCCAGUGGACACUUCUCAACUAGGCUGCCCUUCUGUGUCACUGCUGCUACUUAGUCACUCGUUGACUUUGGAAGAAGAGGCCCUUCAGAGGCUCCAAUGACCAAGAACAUUCCCUUCCCUACUCCUCAGUGUCACGCCCCGCCUCCUCCCAAGCA
rnacentral:lncRNA from 10 species